UACGUAGGCAACAAGCGUUGUUCGGAGUUACUGGGCGUAAAGGGUGCGUAGGCGGUUGCUUAAGUUUGGUGUGAAAUCUCCCGGCUCAACUGGGAGGGUGCGCCGAAUACUGAGUGACUAGAGUGCGGGAGAGGAAAGUGGAAUUCCUGGUGUAGCGGUGAAAUGCGUAGAUAUCAGGAGGAACACCGGUGGUGUAGACGGCUUUCUGGACCGUAACUGACGCUGAGACACGAAAGCGCGGGUAGCAAACAGG
rnacentral:rRNA from 1 species